UGCGCAGGCGGGAAAUUAAGUCAGUGGUGAAAUCCUGCAGCUUAACUGUAGAAUUGCCAUUGAAACUGAUUUUCUUGAGUACAGUUGAGGUAGGCGGAAUGUGUAAUGUAGCGGUGAAAUGCUUAGAUAUUACACAGAACACCGAUUGCGUAGGCAGCUCACUAAACUGUUACUGACGCUCAGGCACGAAAGCGUGGGGAGCGAACAGGAUUAGAUACCCUGGUAGUCC
rnacentral:rRNA from 1 species